rnacentral:rRNA from 1 species
GACGAACGCUGGCGGCGUGCUUAACACAUGCAAGUCGAACGGAAAGGCCCUGCUUUUGUGGGGUGCUCGAGUGGCGAAAGGGUGAGUAACACGUGAGUAACCUGCCCUUGACUUUGGGAUAACUUCAGGAAACUGGGGCUAAUACCGGAUAGGAGCUCCUGCUGCAUGGUGGGGGUUGGAAAGUUUCGGCGGUUGGGGAUGGACUCGCGGCUGAUCAGCUUGUUGGUGGGGUAGUGGCUUACCAAGGCUUUGACGGGUAGCCGGCCUGAGAGGGUGACCGGCCACAUUGGGACUGAGAUACGGCCCAGACUCCUACGGGAGGCAGCAGUGGGGAAUAUUGCACAAUGGGCGGAAGCCUGAUGCAGCAACGCCGCGUGCGGGAUGACGGCCUUCGGGUUGUAAACCGCUUUCGCCUGUGACGAAGCGUGAGUGACGGUAAUGGGUAAAGAAGCACCGGCUAACUACGUG